ensembl:snoRNA SNORA53 small nucleolar RNA, H/ACA box 53
AACAUGCUCCUUAGAUCCAUCUUUGUGGAUAUCUCUUGUGCUGAGUUCUGCUUGUAAACUUUAGUUUCUGGUAGUUCCAGUCAACGGAUAUUCAGCAACUUUUUGUUGUACAGUCAAAGAUGCUUGAGUCAUUGGCAUGUGAGAGUAUUAUACCUGCACAUUUGCCUUUUGUGUUCUGAUAUCAAUGGCUGUAGAUCUACAUGUCAUUUCUCACUAUCAGGACUUGGCUGGUAUGCAGACAUG